rnacentral:rRNA from 1 species
AAUAUUGGACAAUGGGCGAAAGCCUGAUCCAGCCAUGCCGCGUGUGUGAAGCAGGCCUUCGGAUUGUAAAGCCCUUUAAGUUGGGAGUAAGGGGUUGACGCUAAGACCUUCAAUCUUUGACGUUACCAACAGAAUAAGCACAGGCUACCUCUGUGCCACCAGCCGCGGUAAUCCAGAGGGUGCAAGCGUUACGCGGAAUUACUGGGCGUAAAGCGCGCGUAGGUGGUUCAGUAAGAUGGAAGUGAAAUCCCCGGGCUUAACCUGGGAACUGCUUUCAUAACUGCUGAGCUAGAGUACGGUAGAGGGUGGUGGAAUUUCCUGUGUAGCGGUGAAAUGCGUAGAUAUAGGAAGGAACACCAGUGGCGAAGGCGACUACCUGGACUGAUACUGACACUGAGGUGCGAAAGCGUGGGGAGCAAACA